AGAACAGUGUAGCUCUGUUCUAGGUUUGGAGGUUAGCAUAGUCGAAAGGGGAAAAGACGACCAGAUCUGCACUGAGCUCCGGUGGCUAGAGGAAGCAGCCAGCUCUUUCUGAUCGGCCGAUGACGAUGGCUAGGCCACUGGGGACACCGAAACGACCACGGUCAGGCAGUCGCACCAGGGGUCGUCCGAAGAAGAAGAGCAGGAGACGCGGAAGCAACGAGAUGGUCCUAACCAAUGCAAGCAGGCGGGAUCAAGCUUACAAAUCCACCUUCGCGACGGGGCCUUUCCUAGGAGACUAUAUCAUUCACCGUUGCAUCCACCCUGCUGGCUGUGUCCACCUUGUUGGGACCAAGGCAAUCUGCUACUGCAAUACCAGAAGAGAUGCUGCCAAUUGUCCAAGAUCCAUGGGCUAUAGCGGAGUACAACAUUGCACGAUACUCUGUA